AGUCGAGCGGGGAGGUUGCUUCGGUAACUAACCUAGCGGCGGACGGGUGAGUAAUGCUUAGGAAUCUGCCUAUUAGUGGGGGACAACAUCUCGAAAGGGAUGCUAAUACCGCAUACGUCCUACGGGAGAAAGCAGGGGAUCUUCGGACCUUGCGCUAAUAGAUGAGCCUAAGUCGGAUUAGCUAGUUGGUGGGGUAAAGGCCUACCAAGGCGACGAUCUGUAGCGGGUCUGAGAGGAUGAUCCGCCACACUGGGACUGAGACACGGCCCAGACUCCUACGGGAGGCAGCAGUGGGGAAUAUUGGACAAUGGGCGGAAGCCUGAUCCAGCCAUGCCGCGUGUGUGAAGAAGGCCUUUUGGUUGUAAAGCACUUUAAGCGAGGAGGAGGAGCUCUUGGUUAAUACCCAAGAUGCUUGGACGUUACUCGCAGAAUAAGCACCGGCUAACUCUGUGCCAGCAGCCGCGGUAAUACAGAGGGUGCAAGCGUUAAUCGGAUUUACUGGGCGUAAAGCGCGCGUAGGUGGCCAAUUAAGUCAAAUGUGAAAUCCCCGAGCUUAACUUGGGAAUUGCAUUCGAUACUGGUUGGCUAGAGUAUGGGAGAGGAUGGUAGAAUUCCAGGUGUAGCGGUGAAAUGCGUAGAGAUCUGGAGGAAUACCGAUGGCGAAGGCAGCCAUCUGGCCUAAUACUGACACUGAGGUGCGAAAGCAUGGGGAGCAAACAGGAUUAGAUACCCUGGUAGUCCAUGCCGUANACGAUGUCUACUAGCCGUUGGGGCCUUUGAGGCUUUAGUGGCGCAGCUAACGCGAUAAGUAGACCGCCUGGGGAGUACGGUCGCAAGACUAAAACUCAAAUGAAUUGACGGGGGCCCGCACAAGCGGU
rnacentral:rRNA from 1 species